UCUUUUUCAAUUCAUUAAUUAUACACCAGGCCUGUGGGCACAUUGAAUCACCUGGUGAGCCUAAUCUCUAAAGGUUUACCAGGAAAAGCCCCAGGGAGAACAGCUGGGUAUCUGUACUGUGUGUAGUUUUGGGUAACAUGAGGGGCUUGUGUAGCCCGAGGUGGGACAGACACUGAGCCUGUGAUGUGCUGUUAUCCCUGUCUGACACUCAGCUUGAGGAAAAUAUCCACUGAGGCUCAGGUACUUCCCUUAGUGGGUCCCCUGCCCCUUGCAGAGGGUGCACAGGUGUGAGUGUGACAGAAUCUGUCCCCUGUCCUGCCACCCUGUGCCGUGUGACAACAGCCAGGAGCAGUCCCAGGCGCAGAGCUGAGCAGAGCUGCUGUUGUCAUAGCACAGUUUAGAGCUGCAAAGAGCUUUCAAGUUCCUUGUGCAAAUAGUGACAGGUUGAAGGGCAGAUAAGAAAUGCAUUUUUUAUCUUGCCUGAUGUACAGUCACUGAACACACAGGCUGGAACAGCACUUUGUCUUGGGCAGCUGACAGCUGCCUUCUUCUAAAUGAUUUUAUGCUUUAUUGAACAGAAUUUGGCUUUGUUUGCAGAAGGUCAAUAACUUCUGACAGGCUGCCCAGCAGAGCUGGUGAACAGGGAGUGUCAUCAGGAGCCAAGAUCUAGAAGAUUGUUUUGGACUGAGUGUCACAAAUGACUGCUGAUAUGUGAAAUAGCCACCUGUGUGUAGCCACAGGCUCCUCCUCAUUGCUCAGUUGUUGCUGCAGCCACACCAUGGGACCUGAUCUACAGUUGCCUGGAGGAAAAAGUGGUUCCCUGCUUUCUUCUGUUCCAGAAUAAAAUAAGUUGUGGAAAAUCUUAAAAA